UACAAGUACCCGUGAGGCAAAGUUGAAAAGAACUUUGAAGAGAGAGUUCAACAGGACGUGAAACUGCUUAUACGGAAACGAGAAAAGCUAUAAUAUUUUCUGCCAAUUCAAGUUGUAAUCAUCGACAUCUACUAUUUAAAUCGCAAGAUUGAGCAGUAGUUUUGCAAAGCAGCUGCAUUUUGACGGAAUAGCGCCAUCAGCAUUGCACCAUCAGUAACGCCUUGCAUUUGACGAUGUCACAUUAGUGGUUAUUGCAUGCGAGACCGUAAUUUGUAUGACGUAAUGUAAGUUUGAACAAACGUAUUACGCAGAUUGCAUUCGCAGUGUCCGAUUUAAUAAUGACGUGCUAGCACAGAUUUGUUACUCCGGAAAUUGCCAUGUGUUGUUUGCAGUUUGUUUUUGAUGACGAACAAGCUAGUGAUCUUCUCGACCCGUCUUGAAACACGGACCAAGGAGUCUAACGUUUACGCAAGUCGAAGGGUGUAAAACCUGAAGGCGAAAUAAAAGUAAAGCUUUGCGAUACACGAUCUUGCCCUUCCGGUGAGAGCAUUGUUGCCCCGUUCCAAUUGCUUGUCAAUGGAGCGGAGGUUGAGCGUAACUGUUAGGACCCGAAAGAUGGUGAACUAUGCCUGAACAGAACGAAGUCAGAGGAAACUCUGAUGGAAGUUCGAAACGGUUCUGACGUGCAAAUCGAUCGUCAGAUUUGGGUAUAGGGGCGAAAGACUAAUCGAACCAUCUAGUAGCUGGUUCCUUCGCAA
rnacentral:rRNA from 1 species